rnacentral:rRNA from 1 species
CCUACGGGGCGCAGCAGUGGGGGAUAUUGGACAAUGGGCGAAAGCCCGAUCCAGCAAUGCCGCGUGUGUGAAGAAGGUCUUCGGAUUGUAAAGCACUUUCGACGGGGACGAUGAUGACGGUACCCGUAGAAGAAGCCCCGGCUAACUUCGUGCCAGCAGCCGCGGUAAUACGAAGGGGGCUAGCGUUGCUCGGAAUGACUGGGCGUAAAGGGUGCGUAGGCGGUUUAUGCAGUCAGAUGUGAAAUCCCCGGGCUUAACCUGGGAACUGCAUUUGAGACGCAUAGACUAGAGGUCGAGAGAGGGUUGUGGAAUUCCCAGUGUAGAGGUGGAAUUCGUAGAUAUUGGGAAGAACACCGGUGGCGAAGGCGGCCCCCUGGACGAAGACUGACGCUCAGGUGCGAAAGCGUGGGGAGCAAACAGGAUUAGAUACCCGUGUAGUC